GAGUUUGAUCCUGGCUCAGAUUGAACGCUGGAGGUAUGCUUAACACAUGCAAGUCGAACGGUAACGAUGCUAGCUUGCUAGCAGGCGACGAGUGGCGGACGGGUGAGUAACGCGUGGGAAUCUACCCAGAAGUUCGGGACAACCUGGUGAAAACCAGGCUAAUACCGAAUAAUAUCUACGGAUGAAAGGAGGGGAUCUUCGGACCUUUCGCUUUUGGAUGAGCCCGCGUUAGAUUAGCUAGUUGGUGGGGUAAAGGCCUACCAAGGCGACGAUCUAUAGCUGGUCUGAGAGGACGAUCAGCCACACUGGGACUGAGACACGGUCCAGACUCCUACGGGAGGCAGCAGUGGGGAAUAUUGGACAAUGGGCGCAAGCCUGAUCCAGCAAUACCGCGUGUGUGAAGAAGGCCUGCGGGUUGUAAAGCACUUUCAAUUGUGAAGAAAAGUUUAAGGUUAAUAACCUUAGACCUUGACGUUAACUUUAGAACAAGCACCGGCUAACUCCGUGCCAGCAGCCGCGGUAAUACGGAGGGUGCGAGCGUUAAUCGGAAUUACUGGGCGUAAAGCGUGCGUAGGCGGUUAUUUAAUUCAGAUGUGAAAGCCCAGGGCUCAACCUUGGAACUGCAUUUGAAACUGGGUAACUAGAGUUUGGUAGAGGUGAGCAGAAUUCCUAGUGUAGCGGUGAAAUGCGUAGAUAUUAGGAGGAAUACCAGUGGCGAAGGCGGCUCACUGGACCAAAACUGACGCUGAGGMACGAAAGCGUGGGGAGCAAACGGGAUUAGAUACCCCGGUAGUCCACGCCGUAAACGAUGUCAACUAGUCGUUGGGUCCUUCGGGACUUAGUGACGCAGCUAACGCGUGAAGUUGACCGCCUGGGGAGUACGGCCGCAAGGCUAAAACUCAAAUGAAUUGACGGGGGCCCGCACAAGCGGUGGAGCAUGUGGUUUAAUUCGAUGCAACGCGAAGAACCUUACCUACCCUUGACAUUGACAGAAUCCUUUAGAGAUAGAGGAGUGCCUUCGGGCCUGGAAAACAGGUGCUGCAUGGCUGUCGGCAGCUCGUGUCGUGAGAUGUUGGGUUAAGUCCCGCAACGAGCGCAACCCUUAUCCUUAGUUGCCAGCACGUAAUGGUGGGAACUCUAAGGAGACUGCCGGUGAUAAACCCGGAGGAAGGUGGGGAUGACGUCAAGUCAUCAUGGCCCUUAUGGGUAGGGCUACACACGUGCUACAAUGGCCGGUACAGAGGGCAGCGAACUCGCGAGAGUAAGCAAAUCCCACAAAGCCGGUCGUAGUCCGGAUUGGAGUCUGCAACUCGACUCCAUGAAGUUGGAAUCGCUAGUAAUCGUGAAUCAGAACGUCACGGUGAAUACGUUCCCGGGCCUUGUACACACCGCCCGUCACACCAUGGGAGUGNGUCUGCAAAAGAAGUAGGUAGUUUAACCUUCGGGAGGACACUUACCACUUUGUGGUUCAUGACUGGGGUGAAGUCGUAACAAGGUA
rnacentral:rRNA from 1 species